AACGAACGCUGGCGGCAGGCCUAACACAUGCAAGUCGAACGCUGCAGCAAUGCAGAGUGGCAGACGGGUGAGUAACGCGUGGGAAUCUUCCUAUCGGUACGGAAUAGCUCAGGGAAACUUGGGGUAAUACCGCAUACGCCUACGGGAAGGAUUACGUCCGAUAGAUGAGCCCGCGUCUGAUUAGUCUAGUUGGUGAGGUAACGGACGUCACCAAGGCGACGAUCAGAGCUGGUCUGAGAGGAUGACCAGCCACACUGGGACUGAGACACGGCCCAGACUCCUACGGGAGGCAGCAGUGGGGAAUAUUGGACAAUGGGCGCAAGCCUGAUCCAGCCAUGCCGCGUGAGUGACGAAGGUCUUCGGAUU
rnacentral:rRNA from 1 species